AGUGAACGCUGGCGGUAGGCCUAACACAUGCAAGUCGAACGGCAGCACAGUAAGAGCUUGCUCUUACGGGUGGCGGGUGGCGGACGGGUGAGGAAUACAUCGGAAUCUACUCUUUCGUGGGGGAUAACGUAGGGAAACUUACGCUAAUACCGCAUACGACCUACGGGUGAAAGCAGGGGAUCUUCGGACCUUGCGCGAUUGAAUGAGCCGAUGUCGGAUUAGCUAGUUGGCGGGGUAAAGGCCCACCAAGGCGACGAUCCGUAGCUGGUCUGAGAGGAUGAUCAGCCACACUGGAACUGAGACACGGUCCAGACUCCUACGGGAGGCAGCAGUGGGGAAUAUUGGACAAUGGGCGCAAGCCUGAUCCAGCCAUACCGCGUGGGUGAAGAAGGCCUUCGGGUUGUAAAGCCCUUUUGUUGGGAAAGAAAAGCAGCAGGUUAAUACCCCGCUGUUCUGACGGUACCCAAAGAAUAAGCACCGGCUAACUUCGUG
rnacentral:rRNA from 1 species